rnacentral:rRNA from 1 species
CGNGACCCCAGGUCAGGCGGGAUUAC